CCAGGCACUCGUUCAAGACUGCAGAGUGUACAUUUCCAACCUUCUCCCCAACCCCAAGCAAUAUUUAUCAAAAAAAUUGGAAAAAGGAAAAGAAAAUCCUCCUCCCCAAGCAAAAGAUAAGAGAUAUAUGCAACAAAGCAGAGCAAAACCCACAACUCCCAAAUUCACCAUUUUUAUAGGCCACUUCCAAGGAUCAGAUCCGAGUAAAGAAACCCAGAGACCACCGACUCCAAUUCCUCAAAAAAAUAUGGGCAUGGUUUUUGGGAAGAUAAGCGUGGAAACCCCAAAAUACAAAGUCCUCCACUCCACCGCUCUCUACGAAAUCCGGCAAUACGCGCCGUCUGUAGUAGCCCAGUUCACCUACGAUCCUUCCGACCUCAAGGGCGACAAAGAUGGCGGAUUUACUGUCCUCGCCAACUACAUCGGCGCAUUGGGAAAUCCUCAGAACACCAAACCCGAGAAAAUCGCCAUGACGGCUCCGGUCAUAACCAAAACCCAAAACCCGGAAAGCGAAAAGAUCGCCAUGACGGCUCCGGUGGUGACGAGGGAGGAGAAGGGGAAGAGGAUGGUGACGAUGGAGUUUUUGCUGCCGGCGAAGUAUGGGAAGGCGGAGGAUGCGCCGAAGCCGGUGGAUGAGAGGGUGGUGAUUAGGGAGGAGGGGGAGAGGAAGUAUGGGGUGGUGGGAUUUGCGGGGGUGGCGACGGAGGAGGUGGUGGCGGAGAAGGUAGAGAAGUUGAAGGAGAGCUUGGAGAAAGAUGGUUAUAAGAUUAUAGGGGAUUAUAUUCUGGCGAGGUAUAAUCCGCCAUGGACUUUGCCUCCGUUCAGGACUAACGAGGUUAUGAUCCCAAUUGAGUGAUUUUUCAGAUUCUGUUUCUUGUUUGUUUGUAAGAUGCUCUGUUUUUUAAACAAGUAUAAAUAAAACAUGUAUUUUGUUUGCAUUAGUGUUUUCUUUUCCUUCUAACUCACCCUCCGUGAGGGAAUUUUUGCUUCAAGACAAUAAAAAAAGAAGUUUUCAAGCUCAAAUAGUCA